CCUGGAUAUGCAAGGGACACCCCCAGAAUGGGGGGACUGAGACUGGCCCUGGAUAGACAAGGGAGACCCACAGAAUGGGGACUGGGGCCCCUGGAUAGGCAAGGGACACCCCCAGAAUGGGGGGGACUGAGACUGGGGCCCCUGGAUAGGCAAGGGACACCCCCAGGAUGGGGGCUGAGACGGUGGCCCCUGGAUAGGCAAGGGACACCUCCAGAAUGGUCCAGAAUAGUAUGGUCACCUAACUCCAUGGUGCCUCUUCAUCUG